AGAGUUUGAUCCUGGCUCAGAACGAACGCUGGCGGCAGGCUUAACACAUGCAAGUCGAACGCACCGCAAGGUGAGUGGCAGACGGGUGAGUAACGCGUGGGAACGUGCCCUUCAGUUCGGGAUAACCCAGGGAAACUUGGGCUAAUACCGGAUACGUGCGAGAGCAGAAAGAUUUAUCGCUGAAGGAUCGGCCCGCGUCUGAUUAGCUAGUUGGUGGGGUAAUGGCCCACCAAGGCGACGAUCAGUAGCUGGUCUGAGAGGAUGAUCAGCCACAUUGGGACUGAGACACGGCCCAAACUCCUACGGGAGGCAGCAGUGGGGAAUAUUGGACAAUGGGCGCAAGCCUGAUCCAGCCAUGCCGCGUGAGUGAUGAAGGCCUUAGGGUUGUAAAGCUCUUUCGUCCGGGACGAUAAUGACGGUACCGGAAGAAGAAGCCCCGGCUAACUUCGUGCCAGCAGCCGCGGUAAUACGAAGGGGGCUAGCGUUGUUCGGAAUCACUGGGCGUAAAGGGCGCGUAGGCGGCCUGAUAAGUCGGGGGUGAAAGCCUGUGGCUCAACCACAGAAUUGCCUUCGAUACUGUCGGGCUUGAGACCGGAAGAGGUAAGUGGAACUGCGAGUGUAGAGGUGAAAUUCGUAGAUAUUCGCAAGAACACCAGUGGCGAAGGCGGCUUACUGGUCCGGUUCUGACGCUGAGGCGCGAAAGCGUGGGGAGCAAACAGGAUUAGAUACCCUAGUAGUCC
rnacentral:rRNA from 1 species